UACAGAGGUCUCAAGCGUUGUUCGGAUUCAUUUGGGCGUAAAGGGUGCGUAGGCGGCGCGGUAAGUCGGGAUGUGAAAGUCUCCGGCAGCUUAACUCCGAAACUGCAUUCGAUAGCGUGCCGUGCUUGAGGACUGGAGAGGAGACUGGAAUUUACGGUGUAAGCGGUGAAAUGCGUAGAUAUCGUGAAGGAAGACCAGUCGGCGAAGGCGGGUCUACUGGACAGAUUCCUG
rnacentral:rRNA from 1 species